AGCAAACUUGUUGAGGAGACGAAUUAUGGUAGAGGGUUAGUUAGGUAGUUGAGGGUAGACCAAUUCUUGUUGUUCAUAGAUAUAGGUUUAUUGAUGUCUGUCGUAUUCUUAUAAUUCUUGCUUUUCAUAUCUAUCAUCGUAUGUUAUUUAUUUUUCCUUUCAAGUAGCAUAUUAUUUUGUGUUGUUAGUGUUGUUGUAUUAAUUUCUUUGUUUUUUUGACGGG
rnacentral:lncRNA from 1 species